UGAGUGCCAAUCCAAUAUCCAUAUUGUGACUAUGAAAUUUGGUAUGUGUGGAACCUGGACUUGCACUCACAGCAAGUCGAACAAUAUGGAGAUUGAUGCAGCCUACGAGAUGUUGUGAAAAUUCUUCAGGUUUAAAGCUGUCGACAAAUUUUGGUGAUCACACUCUGAGAUGGUAAGUAAGCGUACUUACAUCGCCAAGAUCUCUGAAGGGGUUAAAGCAAGCAGCAGCCACUAGUAACCUUUCUAGGCGAUGGAAGUGUGUGUGGGCGUCUACCAUGACUCCCAACUUCGAUGCAGUUGCAGGGAAAACUAUAUGCAGUUUGUAUGGCUUCGAAAUUAAAGAAGAAUUAGAUUCGGAAAUUCGUAGGUACGUCGAUGAUGGAACAACAUCAAAGUCCAUCCCCUUGAGCAAUAUACCUCUCCACGCGAGCAAUAUCUUUUUAGGUAUCAA
rnacentral:sRNA from 1 species